GUGCCAGCAGCCGCGGUAAUACGAAGGGUGCAAGCGUUAAUCGGAAUUACUGGGCGUAAAGCGCGCGUAGGUGGUUCGUUAAGUUGGAUGUGAAAGCCCCGGGCUCAACCUGGGAAUGGCAUUUGAUACUGGCGAGCUAGAGUACGGUAGAGGGUGGUGGAAUUCCCGGUGUAGCGGUGAAAUGCGUAGAGAUCGGGAGGAACAUCUGUGGCGAAGGCGGCCACCUGGACCAGUACUGACGCUGAGGCACGAAAGCGUGGGGAGCAAACAGGAUUAGAUACCCUGGUAGUCCACGCCCUAA
rnacentral:rRNA from 1 species